UAUAAAUAGCCAGAUUCUUUUUUGGUUUUUUCUUGGGCGUCGAUGAGCACAGUAGCUCGGAGGAGGCCACCAUGGAGCUGAUGCCACCUCGGCAAACAAAACCUGUGCAUAACGAGAACGACGAGGCGAGCCAAUACUAUAGAGGAGCUGAACCAUAGUGAGGUAUUAAUUUUAAGUAGCAAUAUUGGUUGCUAGCAUAGGAAAGGUUUGACGUAUCUGUCCACCUUUUAAAAUAUAAGUAUCUAAAUACUGAAUAAUGAUUAUAGUGCUUUAAGACAAUCAGGUGCCGUUUGGUUUAGCAUAUAAGUGUCUAAUUACUAUAUAUAGGUAUCUAUCCACACUUUGCUUUAACAAUCAGGCAUCGUUUUCUUCAUCUUGCUAGCUCCAGUUUGUUGCAGAGGAACUAUAGUGAUCUAUGACCGGACUUCCUGUUGAUUUAGUGAUUUAUGAUUCCUACAAGUAUAUAGGAAUAUUUUAGCUCCAUCAUAGGAAAAAUAAUCUGAAAUAGAGUUUCGGUGAACUUGAAUAUCAUGGCGUGCACUUGCUUCAUUUACCUAGUUAACAAUAAAAAGGCCAAGUCUUUCAUAUUGAAAUGGCAUUUUUUUGUUCAACAUGAUAUUGUGAUUCUAGCCUCAUUUAGUCUGUGUUGCAGGUUAAGAAAUUUACAGUUUAAAAA